rnacentral:tRNA from 1 species
GGAGAGAUGGCUCAGUGGUUAAGAGCGCCGAUUGCUCUUCUGGAGGUCCUGAGUUCAAACCCCAGCACCCACA